rnacentral:rRNA from 1 species
UACGUAGGGGGCGAGCGUUGUCCGGAAUUACUGGGCGUAAAGGCGCGUAGGCGGCCCGUUAAGUCCGUUGUGAAAGACCCGAGGCUCAACCUCGGGAUGUCAACGGAGACUGUCGGGCUUGGAGUGUCGGAGAGGAGGCGGGGAAUCCCUGGUGUAGCGGUGGAAUGCGUAGAGAUCAGGGGGAACACCGAUGGCGAAGGCACCGCUCUGGCCGAAGACUGACGCUGAGGCGCGAAAGCUGGGGGAGCGAACGGG